rnacentral:rRNA from 1 species
CCUACGGGAUGCAGCAGUGGGGAAUAUUGCACAAUGGGGGAAACCCUGAUGCAGCGACGCCGCGUGAGUGAAGAAGUAUUUCGGUACGUAACGCUCUAUCAGCAGGGAAGAAAAUGACGGUACCUGACUAAGAAGCCCCGGCUAACUACGUGCCAGCAGCCGCGGUAAUACGUAGGGGGCAAGCGUUAUCCGGAUUUACUGGGUGUAAAGGGAGCGUAGACGGCAGCGCAAGUCUGGAGUGAAAUCCCAUGGCUUAACCAUGGAACUGCGUUGGAAACUGUGCAGCUAGAGUGCAGGAGAGGUAAGCGGAAUUCCUAGUGUAGCGGUGAAAUGCGUAGAUAUUAGGAGGAACACCAGUGGCGAAGGCGGCUUACUGGACUGUAACUGACGUUGAGGCUCGAAAGCGUGGGGAGCAAACAGGAUUAGAUACCCCUGUAGUC